UACGUAGGGCGCAAGCGUUGUCCGGAAUUAUUGGGCGUAAAGAGCUCGUAGGCGGCUUGUCACGUCGGGUGUGAAAGCCCGGGGCUUAAACCCCGGGUCUGCAUUCGAUACGGGCAGGCUAGAGUGUGGUAGGGGAGGAUCGGAAUUCCUGGUGUAGCGGUGAAAUGCGCAGAUAUCAGGAGGAACACCGGUGGCGAAGGCGGAUCUCUGGGCCAUUACUGACGCUGAGGAGCGAAAGCGUGGGGAGCGAACAGG
rnacentral:rRNA from 1 species